AGUGAACGCUGGCGGUAGGCCUAACACAUGCAAGUCGAACGGCAGCACAGGAGAGCUUGCUCUCUGGGUGGCGAGUGGCGGACGGGUGAGGAAUACAUCGGAAUCUACUCUGUCGUGGGGGAUAACGUAGGGAAACUUACGCUAAUACCGCAUACGACCCACGGGUGAAAGCAGGGGACCUUCGGGCCUUGCGCGAUUGAAUGAGCCGAUGUCGGAUUGGCUAGUUGGCGGGGUAAAGGCCCACCAAGGCGACGAUCCGUAGGUGGUCUGAGAGGAUGAUCAGCCACACUGGAACUGAGACACGGUCCAGACUCCUACGGGAGGCAGCAGUGGGGAAUAUUGGACAAUGGGCGCAAGCCUGAUCCAGCCAUACCGCGUGGGUGAAGAAGGCCUUCGGGUUGUAAAGCCCUUUUGUUGGGAAAGAAAUCCAGCUGGCUAAUACCCGGUUGGGAUGACGGUACCCAAAGAAUAAGCACCGGCUAACUUCGUGCCAGCCGCCGCCGUAA
rnacentral:rRNA from 1 species